UACGUAUGGAGCAAGCGUUAUCCGGAUUUACUGGGUGUAAAGGGAGCGUAGGCGGCUCUGUAAGUCUGAUGUGAAAAUUUGGGGCUCAACCCCAAACGUGCAUUGGAAACUGCAGGGCUUGAGUGCCGGAGAGGCAGGCGGAAUUCCUAGUGUAGCGGUGAAAUGCGUAGAUAUUAGGAGGAACACCAGUGGCGAAGGCGGCCUGCUGGACGGUAACUGACGCUGGGGCUCGAAAGCGUGGGGAGCAAACAGG
rnacentral:rRNA from 1 species